CUUCUAAAAUCAGGGACAAGAUAAGGAUGCCCACUCUCCCCACUUCUAUUCAACAUAGUGCUGGAAUCCCCAGCCAUAGCAAUAAGGCACGAAGAGGGCAUUAAGGGGAUCCACAUUGGAAAAGAGGAAAUCAAACUAUCCCUAUUCGCAGAUGACAUGAUCUUAUAUCUGAAGGACCCAAAAAACUCAGUCCCCAAACUCCUACACCUAAUAAACCAUUUUGGCAAAGUAGCAGGUUACAAAA